AGUUGCAGGGUAUAGACCCGAAACCCGGUGAUCUAGCCAUGGGCAGGUUGAAGGUUGGGUAACACUAACUGGAGGACCGAACCGACUAAUGUUGAAAAAUUAGCGGAUGACCUGUGGCUGGGGGUGAAAGGCCAAUCAAACCGGGAGAUAGCUGGUUCUCCCCGAAAGCUAUUUAGGUAGCGCCUCGUGAAUUCAUCUCCGGGGGUAGAGCACUGUUUCGGCUAGGGGGCCAUCCCGGCUUACCAACCCGAUGCAAACUGCGAAUACCGGAGAAUGUUAUCACGGGAGACACACGGCGGGUGCUAACGUCCGUCGUGAAGAGGGAAACAACCCAGACCGCCAGCUAAGGUCCCAAAGUCAUGGUUAAGUGGGAAACGAUGUGGGAAGGCCCAGACAGCCAGGAUGUUGGCUUAGAAGCAGCCAUCAUUUAAAGAAAGCGUAAUAGCUCACUGGUCGAGUCGGCCUGCGCGGAAGAUGUAACGGGGCUAAACCAUGCACCGAAGCUGCGGCAGCGACACUGUGUGUUGUUGGGUAGGGGAGCGUUCUGUAAGCCUGUGAAGGUGUGUCGUGAGGCAUGCUGGAGGUAUCAGAAGUGCGAAUGCUGACAUAAGUAACGAUAAAGCGGGUGAAAAGCCCGCUCGCCGGAAGACCAAGGGUUCCUGUCCAACGUUAAUCGGGGCAGGGUGAGUCGACCCCUAAGGCGAGGCCGAAAGGCGUAGUCGAUGGGAAACGGGUUAAUAUUCCCGUACUUGGUGUUACUGCGAAGGGGGGACGGAGAAGGCUAUGUUGGCCGGGCGACGGUUGUCCCGGUUUAAGCGUGUAGGUGUGUGUUCCAGGUAAAUCCGGUUCACUUUAACACUGAGGCGUGACGACGAGGCACUACGGUGCUGAAGCAACAAAUGCCCUGCUUCCAGGAAAAGCCUCUAAGCAUCAGGUAACAUCAAAUCGUACCCCAAACCGACACAGGUGGUCAGGUAGAGAAUACCAAGGCGCUUGAGAGAACUCGGGUGAAGGAACUAGGCAAAAUGGUGCCGUAACUUCGGGAGAAGGCACGCUGACACGUAGGUGAAGUGAUUUACUCAUGGAGCUGAAGUCAGUCGAAGAUACCAGCUGGCUGCAACUGUUUAUUAAAAACACAGCACUGUGCAAACACGAAAGUGGACGUAUACGGUGUGACGCCUGCCCGGUGCCGGAAGGUUAAUUGAUGGGGUCAGCGCAAGCGAAGCUCCUGAUCGAAGCCCCGGUAAACGGCGGCCGUAACUAUAACGGUCCUAAGGUAGCGAAAUUCCUUGUCGGGUAAGUUCCGACCUGCACGAAUGGCGUAAUGAUGGCCAGGCUGUCUCCACCCGAGACUCAGUGAAAUUGAACUCGCUGUGAAGAUGCAGUGUACCCGCGGCAAGACGGAAAGACCCCGUGAACCUUUACUAUAGCUUGACACUGAACAUUGAGCCUUGAUGUGUAGGAUAGGUGGGAGGCUUUGAAGUGUGGACGCCAGUCUGCAUGGAGCCGACCUUGAAAUACCACCCUUUAAUGUUUGAUGUUCUAACGUGGACCCGU
rnacentral:rRNA from 1 species